CGCGUAGGCGGCUUUUCAAGUCAGGGGUGAAAUCCCGAGGCUCAACCUCGGAACUGCCCUUGAAACUGGAUGGCUAGAAUAUUGGAGAGGUAAGUGGAAUUCCGAGUGAAGAGGUGAAAUUCGUAGAUAUUCGGAAGAACACCAGUGGCGAAGGCGACUUACUGGACAAUUAUUGACGCUGAGGUGCGAAAGCGUGGGGAGCAAACA
rnacentral:rRNA from 1 species